GUGUCAGCCGCCGCGGUAAUACAGAGGGUGCGAGCGUUGUCCGGAAUCACUGGGCGUAAAGGGCGCGUAGGUGGCCUGGUAAGUAGGGGGUGAAAUCUCGUGGCUCAACUGCGAGGCUGCCUCCUAAACUGUCAGGCUCGAGCAGAGUAGAGGCAGGUGGAAUUCCCGGUGUAGCGGUGGAAUGCGUAGAGAUCGGGAAGAACAUCGGUGGCGAAGGCGGCCUGCUGGGCUCUUGCUGACACUGAGGCGCGACAGCGUGGGGAGCAAACAGGAUUAGAAACCCCUGUAGUCC
rnacentral:rRNA from 1 species